AGAGUUUGAUCCUGGCUCAGAACGAACGCUGGCGGCGUGCUUAACACAUGCAAGUCGAACGAGAAAGUUUCCUUCGGGAAAUGAGUAAAGUGGCGCACGGGUGAGUAACACGUGAGCAACCUGCCCCUGAGUCUGGGAUAACAUUCCGAAAGGAUUGCUAAUACCGGAUAAGACCACGACUUCUCUGGGAGAAGUGGCCAAAGAAGGGUCCUUCGGACCUUUGCUUGGGGAUGGGCUCGCGUCCCAUUAGGUAGUUGGUAGGGUAACGGCCUACCAAGCCGAUGAUGGGUAGCUGGUCUGAGAGGAUGAUCAGCCACACUGGAACUGAGACACGGUCCAGACUCCUACGGGAGGCAGCAGUGGGGAAUAUUGCACAAUGGGCGAAAGCCUGAUGCAGCAACGCCGCGUGGGUGAUGAAGGCUUUCGGGUCGUAAAGCCCUGUCAGAGGGGAAGAAAGGACAGUAGAGGAAAUGCUACUGUAUUGACGGUACCCUCAAAGGAAGCACCGGCUAACUCCGUGCCAGCAGCCGCGGUAAUACGGGGGGUGCUAGCGUUGUUCGGAAUCACUGGGCGUAAAGCGCGUGUAGGCGGAUGAUCAAGUCAGAUGUGAAAUCCCACGGCUCAACCGUGGACGUGCAUUUGAAACUGAUCGUCUAGAGUAAGGUAGAGGGAAGGGGAAUUCCCGGUGUAGAGGUGAAAUUCGUAGAUAUCGGGAGGAAUACCGGUGGCGAGGGCGCCUUCCUGGACCAUUACUGACGCUCAGACGCGAAAGCGUGGGUAGCAAACAGGAUUAGAUACCCUGGUAGUCCACGCUGUAAACGAUGAGCACUAGGUGUUGCGGGUAUCGACCCCUGCAGUGCCGAAGUUAACACAUUAAGUGCUCCGCCUGGAGAGUACGGUCGCAAGAUUAAAACUCAAAGGAAUUGACGGGGGCCCGCACAAGCGGUGGAGUAUGUGGUUUAAUUCGAUGCAACGCGAAGAACCUUACCUGGGUUUGAAAUCUCUGGAACGCCUAUGAAAAUAGGAAGUGCCCUUCGGGGAACCGGAUGACAGGUGCUGCAUGGCUGUCGUCAGCUCGUGUCGUGAGAUGUUGGGUUAAGUCCCGCAACGAGCGCAACCCUUGUCCUUAGUUACCAUCAUUUAGUUGGGGACUCUAAGGAGACUGCCGGUGUUAAACCGGAGGAAGGUGGGGAUGACGUCAAGUCCUCAUGGCCCUUACACCCAGGGCUACACACGUACUACAAUGGCCGGCACAAAGAGUCGCUAAACCGCGAGGUCAAGCCAAUCUCAAAAAACCGGCCUCAGUUCGGAUUGCAGUCUGCAACUCGACUGCAUGAAGUCGGAAUCGCUAGUAAUCGCGUAUCAGCAUGACGCGGUGAAUACGUUCCCGGGCCUUGUACACACCGCCCGUCACACCACGAAAGUCGGUUGGACCUGAAAUCGGUGGGCUAACCUUCGGGAGGCAGCCGCUUACGGUCUGGCCGGUAAUUGGGGUGAAGUCGUAACAAGGUA
rnacentral:rRNA from 1 species